CAGUCGCCGCGGUAACACGGAAGGUCCGGGCGUUAUCCGGAUUUAUUGGGUUUAAAGGGAGCGUAGGCCGUGGAUUAAGCGUGUUGUGAAAUGUAGGUGCUCAACGUCUGCACUGCAGCGCGAACUGGUCCACUAGAGUGUGCGCAACGCAGGCGGAAUUCGUCGUGUAGCGGUGAAAUGCUUAGAUAUGACGAAGAACUCCGAUUGCGAAGGCAGCUUGCGGGAGCACAACUGACGCUGAAGCUCGAAAGUGCGGGUAUCGAACAGGAUUAGAUACCCCCGUAGUCCCUGUCUCUUAUAC
rnacentral:rRNA from 1 species